UACGGAGGGUGCGAGCGUUGUCCGGGAUCACUGGGCGUAAAGGGCGCGUAGGCGGUCUGCUAAGCGUGCGGUGAAAGCCUGGGGCUCAACCCCAGGUCUGCCGUGCGAACUGGUGGACUAGAGCACUGUAGAGGCAGGUGGAAUUCCGGGUGUAGCGGUGGAAUGCGUAGAGAUCCGGAAGAACACCGGUGGCGAAGGCGGCCUGCUGGGCAGUUGCUGACGCUGAGGCGCGACAGCGUGGGGAGCAAACAGG
rnacentral:rRNA from 1 species